rnacentral:rRNA from 1 species
CCUCCUUUGUGCCGCCGUAGGGAAUAUUGCUCAAUGGGGGCAACCCUGAAGCAGCCACGCCGCGUGGAGGAUGAAGGUUUUAGGAUUGUAAACUACUUUUGUGAGAGAAGAUAAUGACGGUAUCUCACGAAUAAGCACCGGCUAACUCCGUGCCAGCAGCCGCGGUAAUACGGCGGGUGCAAGCGUUACUCGGAAUCACUGGGCGUAAAGAGUGCGCAGGCGGGCUGGUAAGUCAGAUGUGAAAUCCUGUAGCUUAACUACAGAACUGCAUUUGAAACUAUGAGUCUAGAGUGUGGGAGAGGUAGGUGGAAUUCUUGGUGUAGGGGUAAAAUCCGUAGAUAUCAAGAGGAAUACUCAUGGCGAAGGCGACCUACUGGAACAUUACUGACGCUCAUGCACGAAAGCGUGGGGAGCAAACAGGAUUAGAUACCCGGGUAGUC